rnacentral:rRNA from 1 species
AUUGGGUGGUAAAUUCCAUCUAAAGCUAAAUAUUGGCGAGAGACCGAUAGCAAACAAGUACCGUGAGGGAAAGAUGAAAAGCACUUUGGAAAGAGAGUUAACAGUACGUGAAAUUGUUGAAAGGGAAACGAUUGAAGUCAGACGUGCGUGAUGCGGUUCAGCUCUGGUUCGCCAGAGUGUACUCCGUAUCUUUGCAGGCCAAGAUCGGUUUUGUUAGUCGGAUAAAGGUUUGAGAAAUGUGGCACCUUCGGGUGUGUUAUAGUCUCAGACUGAAUACGAUUGAUGGGACCGAGGAACGCAGCGCGCCGCAAGGCAAAGGUUCCGACCUUUUCGCGCUUAGGAUGUUGGUGAAAUGGCUUUAAACGACCCGUCUUGAAACACGGACCAAGGAGUCUAACAUGCUUGCGAGUGUUUGGGUGGCAAACCCAUACGCGUAAUGAAAGUGAAUGGAGGUGGGAUCCUUUACCGGAGCACCAUCGACCGGCCCAGAUUUUUAAUGAAGGGUCUGAGUAAGAGCACGUAUGUUGGGACCCGAAAGAUGGUGAACUAUGCCUGAAUAGGGUGAAGCCAGAGG